rnacentral:rRNA from 1 species
ACCUAGGAGUGAUAUCCGGGAGACAGACGGCGGGUGCUAAGGUCCGUCGUCAAAAGGGAAACAGCCCUGACCGCCAGCUAAGGUCCCUAAGUUACGGCUAAGUGGGAAAGGAUGUGAGGAGGCCAAGACAACCAGGACGUUGGCUUAGAAGCAGCCAUCGUUUAAAGAAAGCGUAAUAGCUCACUGGUCUAAAUAAGCCGCCUUGCGCCGAAGAUGUACCGGGGCUCAAGCCGUACACCGAAGCUGCGGACUCCUUAAUGGAGUGGUAGCGGAGCGUUCCGUAGGUCUGUGAAGGGAUACCCGCGAGGGGUCCUGGAGAUAUCGGAAGUGCGAAUGCUGACAUGAGUAACGAUAAGGGAGGUGAAAAACCUCCCCGCCGAAAGAUCAAGGUUUCCUGUCCAACGUUAAUCGGGACAGGGUGAGUCGGCCCCUAAGGCGAGGGCGAAAGCCGUAGUCGAUGGGAAACCGGUUAAAAUUCCGGUACCGACUCUUACUGCGAUGGGGUGACGGAGAAGGCUAGGCUGGCAGGGUGUUGGUUGUCCCUGUUUAAGCGAGUAGGUAGGGGGCUUAGGUAAAUCCGGGCCCUCGUUAAUCUGAGACGCGAUGACGAUCUCCUGGGGAGACCCUCGAGAGAAGCAGUCGAUGCCAUACUUCCAGGAAAAACCUCUAAGCUUCAGGUAAGAGUUGACCGUACUGUAAACCGACACAGGUGAUCAGGUAGAGAAUACCAAGGCGCUUGAGAGAACUUGGGUGAAGGAACUAGGCAAAAUGGUACCGUAACUUCGGGAGAAGGUACGCUCCUGCCGGUGAUCGGACUUGCUCCGUAAGCUAGUGGGAGUCGAAGUGACCAGGUGGCUGCAACUGUUUACUAAAAACAUAGCACUCUGCAAACUCGUGAGAGGAAGUAUAGGGUGUGACGCCUGCCCGGUGCCGGAAGGUUAAGUGAUGGGGUUAG